UGGGGAAUAUUGCGCAAUGGGCGAAAGCCUGACGCAGCGACGCCGCGUGAGGGAUGAAGGUUUUCGGAUCGUAAACCUCUGUCAGAAGGGAAGAAACCGCACUGUGCUAAUCAGCAGUGCCUUGACGGUACCUUCAAAGGAAGCACCGGCUAACUCCGUUCCAGCAGCCGCGGUAAUACGGAGGGUGCAAGCGUUAAUCGGAAUUACUGGGCGUAAAGCGCACGUAGGCUGCUUUGUAAGUCAGGGGUGAAAUCCCACGGCUCAACCGUGGAACUGCCUUUGAGACUGCUUAGCUUGAAUCCGGGAGAGGGUGGCGGAAUUCCAGGUGUAGGAGUGAAAUCCGUAGAUAUCUGGAGGAACAUCAGUGGCGAAGGCGGCCACCUGGACCGGUAUUGACGCUGAGGUGCGAAAGCGUGGGGAGCAAACAGG
rnacentral:rRNA from 1 species